rnacentral:misc_RNA from 1 species
GAUGAAGAACGUAGCAAAAUGCGAUACUUGGUGUGAAUUGCAGAAUCCCGUGAACCAUCGAGUUUUUGAACGCAAGUUGCGCCCGAAGCCUUUUGGCCGAGGGCACGUCUGCGUGGGCGUCACGCAUCGCGUCGCCCCCCACAAUUCUCCGUAAAGGGAACAUGUGUUUUGGGGGCGGAUAUUGGUCUCCCGUGCUCAUGGCGUGGUUGGCCGAAAUAGGAGUCCUUUCGAUGGACGCACGAACUAGUGGUGGUCGUAAAAACCCUCGUCUUUUGUUUCGUGCUGUUGCUCGCAAGGUAAACUCUUUAAAAACCCCAAUGUGUCGUCUCUUGACGACGCUUCGACCGCGACCCCAGGUCAGGCGGGACUACCCGCUGAGUUUAAGCAUAUCAAUAAGCGGAGGA